rnacentral:lncRNA from 1 species
GGAGGCAGCUGCGCAGGAGAGGCCGCCCUUCUGGAGUGGGGUCUCCUAGACCACACAGUCAAGUACACAACCUUGGCCCCGCCCCUGCAAGCCCCCGCCCAUUCCCUGGCCACACCCACACGGUGCCCAGCCUUGGUCUCCAGUGAUGAGCUGGGAAGUCUCUUCUCUAGCACUGGGUUCGUGGCAGUGGUGGGUGGCGAGCAGGCUGGGGAAGGGUCUUUGGAGAAGAGGCUCUGGAGUUGAGCUCACCUCUCUCUCCGGCUCCCGCUCCCAGCCCCUCUGGGCCGGGAGAACGAUGAAGAUGGAGAACUAGGACAGAACUGUCCCUGGAACAGAGGCAACGACUGGCCAAAGGUCACCAGAGACACUUCCCCAGCCCAAUGUCACAGUCAACAACUCAGCCCCAGGAGCAUGUGGAAUCCAUCAGCCUGCACAGCUUGAACCCAAAGAGCUCUGUGGCCAUCCAGUGGUACAUCCGGGGCCAGAAGCUCUUCACUGGGGGCCACAGGGAGCUGUCCUCUGACCACAGGAUACUGUAUGGAACAUCACCAGGAAUGACUCGGGCUUCUACCAGUGUGAGAGCUGCAACUCAGCUACCAGCAGCAUCAGCAACCCUAUUCUCAUCAAAGUCAUUUAGGCUCCAGAGAGCAUCCUGCAGCCCGUCUUCCUCAGGACCACCAUUCCUGCGGGGGGCAUCGCGGGGAUCACUCUCGGUGUCCUCAUCGAUGUGGCACUCACAGGGGUGGCUGGCUCCUUUGUCAGGGUCAUGAGGUCCCAGGUAUCAGCUCUGGGCUCUUCAGAGGUCACAGAGCUGAGACCGAGCAUCUGGGGAGUUCAGAGGGCUGCACUGCUGGAAGCCAUGUGGGCUGGGAGCUGGGGG